rnacentral:rRNA from 1 species
AAUGAACGUUGGCGGCGUGGAUUAGGCAUGCAAGUCGAGCGAGAACCGGUUUCGGCCGGGGACAGCGGCGAACGGCGUAGUAAUGCAUCGGAACGUACCCUCUGGUCGGGGAUAGCUACGGGAAACUGUAGGUAAUACCCGAUGAUCUCUGCGGAGCAAAGGUGAGAUUCCGCCGGAGGAGCGGCUGAUGUGAUAUUAGCUAGUUGGUGGGGUAAUGGCCUACCAAGGCGAUGAUGUCUAGGGGGUGUGAGAGCAUGGCCCCCACGACCGGAACUGAGAUACUGUCCGGACACCUACGGGUGGCUGCAGUCGAGAAUCUUCCGCAAUGGACGAAAGUCUGACGGAGCGACGCCGCGUGCGGGAUGAAGGCCCUUGGGUUGUAAACCGCUGUCAGAGGGGAUGAAAUCUUCGGAGGUACUCCUCCGAAGUUGACAGAGCCUCAAAGGAAGCACGGGCUAAGUACGUGCCAGCAGCCGCCGUAAUAC